UGUCCCAGCAUGGUAAUUGACAAGCAAGUCUUAGACUACGUUAGCGAAGUCGUUUUGCCAUUUUGGAAUCCUGAGUACGGCACCAUCAUUCUGUAUUAGGAAUGAAAUUGCUCAGAAACAUCAUUGGAUUCGAAAUGGGAUCUAGCAACAAGUCCAAGUGAUAGAAGACCACAGGUUGCACUGGGUUGGUGGUGAUGGUGGAGGAGAUAGAAUUUCAUCGAGACUCAGGGCCAGGAGAAGCAUUCACGGACAGUGUCAGGUAACAAUGCCCUUCCAUGCUUGGCUUCACUCUCAAGAUUUGACAAACGAUACCCUGCCCUUUGGGACAUUCUCAUUCCAGUGAGAUCCAGACACUCAAUUUUUUAAGUGACAAACUGACAGAUUCAUUAAACCAAGGCCUGUAUGUCAGGAAGUAUGAGCCGUUGAUCUGUGUACAGAUGUCACCACUCUUUUAGAAGACAAUUCUUGGGGAUUAUAGACCUGAUAAAUCACACCA
rnacentral:lncRNA from 12 species